CACGACAGCCACUGAACUUGGUCAAAAACCAAAUUCUCAGGAAUAUUAUUCAUGUACAAAGAAGGCCACUGGAAGCACCAGUCAUGAGAGUAGAUUGCAUGGUUUUUAGUCUUCUGAAAAAGAGGGGAAAGAGAGCAAGGACAUUGGAGGAAGUUGUUAAUAGAGAUUUCAUGGUAAAUGAUAUCUUUGAAGAUUUGGUCUUUAAUCAAGCUGAAUGGUUUUGU
rnacentral:pre_miRNA from 1 species